rnacentral:rRNA from 1 species
ACGGCGAGUGAAGCGGCAACAGCUCAAAUUUGAAAUCUGGCCUCGGCCCGAGUUGUAAUUUGCAGAGGAUGCUUCUGGCGCGGUGCCUUCCGAGUUCCCUGGAACGGGACGCCACAGAGGGUGAGAGCCCCGUAUGGUCGGACACCAAGCCUGUGUGAAGCUCCUUCGACGAGUCGAGUAGUUUGGGAAUGCUGCUCUAAAUGGGAGGUAAAUCUCUUCUAAAGCUAAAUACCGGCCAGAGACCGAUAGCGCACAAGUAGAGUGAUCGAAAGAUGAAAAGCACCUUGAAAAGGGGGUUAAAUAGUACGUGAAAUUGUUGAAAGGGAAGCACUUAUGACCAGACUUGGGCCGGGCGGCUCAUCAGGGGUUCUCCCCUGUGCACUCCGCCCGGCACAGGCCAGCAUCGGUUCUCGUGGGGGGAUAAGACCGUCAGGAACGUAGCACCCUCCGGGGUGUGUUAUAGCCUGGCGGACGAUACCCCCGUGGGGACCGAGGUCCGCGCUCCGCAAGGAUGCUGGCGUAAUGGUCAUCAGUGACCCGUCUUGAAACACGGACCAAGGAGUCGUCCAUUAGAGCGAGCGUUUGGGUGUAAAACCCGCACGCGUAAUGAAAGUGAACGCAGGUGAGAGCUUCGGCGCAUCAUCGACCGAUCCUGAUGUUCUCGGAAGGAUUUGAGUAAGAGUUUUAACGGACGGACCCGAAAGACAGUGAACUAUGCUUGUAUAGGGUGAAGCCAGAGGAAACUCUGGUGGAGGCUCGCAGCGGUUCUGACGUGCAAAUCGAUCGUCAAAUAU